GUCUUUUUGAAAUUAAAUAUAAAGUCUAACCUGCCCAUUGAAUAAUUAAUUUUUUAAAAGAGCUGCGGUAUUUUGACCGUACAAAGGUAGCAUAAUCAUUAGUUUUUUAAUUGAAAACUCGUAUGAAUGGUUGAAUGAAAAAUUAACUUUUUUUAUUAAAAAAUUGAAUUUUACUUUUUAGUUAAAAGGCUAAAAUAAUUUUAAAAGACGAGAAGACCCUAUAGAGUUUCAUAAUUAUUUUUUUUUAUUUUGAAGGAAUAAUUUAUUUAAUAUAAAUGGAAUUAUUUUAUUGGGGUGAUAAUAAAAUUUAAUAAACUUUUAUUUUAAAUAAAACAUUAAUAUAUGAAUAUUUGAUCCAAUUAUAUUGAUUAAAAAAUUAAAUUACCUUAGGGAUAACAGCGUAAUUUUUUUUUAAGUUCUUAUUAAUAAAAGAUUUUGCGACCUCGAUGUUGGAUUAAGAUUAAAUUUUAGGUGCAGCAGCUUAAAUUUUAAGUCUGUUCGACUUUUAAAUUCUU
rnacentral:rRNA from 1 species